GGGGGCAUAGCUCAGCUGGGAGAGCAGUAGACUGAAGUAGCCUUUCUAAAGGUCCCGCGUUCGAUCCGCGGUGCCCCCA